rnacentral:rRNA from 1 species
CCCCUAGUAACUGCGAGUGAAGCGGGAAAAGCUCAAAUUUAAAAUCUGGUGGUCUUUUCGGUCACCCGAGUUGUAGUCUGGAGAAGUGCUUUCCGCGCUGGACCGUGUACAAGUCUCUUGGAACAGAGCGUCGUAGAGGGUGAGAAUCCCGUCUUUGACACGGACUACCAGUGCUUUGUGAUGCGCUCUCAAAGAGUCGAGUUGUUUGGGAAUGCAGCUCAAAAUGGGUGGUAAAUUCCAUCUAAAGCUAAAUAUUGGCGAGAGACCGAUAGCGAACAAGUACCGUGAGGGAAAGAUGAAAAGCACUUUGGAAAGAGAGUUAAACAGUACGUGAAAUUGCUGAAAGGGAAACGCUUGAAGUCAGUCGCGUUGACUGGAACUCAGCCUUGCUUUUUUGCUUGGUGCAUUUUCUAGUUGACGGGCCAGCAUCGAUUUUGACUGCUGGAAAAAGGCUGGGGGAAUGUGGCACCUUCGGGUGUGUUAUAGCCCUCAGUCGCAUACAGUGGUUGGGAUCGAGGAUCGCAGCACGCCUUUAUGGCCGGGGUUCGCCCACGUUCGUGCUUAGGAUGCUGGCAUAAUGGCUUUAAACGACCCGUCUUGAAACACGGACCAAGGAGUCUAACAUGCCUGCGAGUGUUUGGGUGGAAAACUCGAGCGCGCAAUGAAAGUGAAAGUUGAGAUCCCUGUCAUGGGGAGCAUCGACGCCCGGACUUGAACUUCGGUGAUGGAUCCGCGGUAGAGCAUGUAUGUUGGGACCCGAAAGAUGGUGAACUAUGCCUGAAUAGGGUGAAGCCAGAGGAAACUCUGGUGGAGGCUCGUAGCGAUUCUGACGUGCAAAUCGAUCGUCAAAUUUGGGUAUAGGGGCGAAAGACUAAUCGAACCAUC